rnacentral:misc_RNA from 1 species
CUUUUUGUUGUUACAUAAACAUUAUUAUUAUUAAUUUUUAAGGGCGUUUUAAUGGCUCAGGUCAUUUCACGCCUUACAUCCAAAUUUAACUGUCAGUAAGUGAAUAACAACAAAACAGUAGCGGUGUCAUACGGUGCAAACCAUAUUUAGGCACUACUAAUUACAAUUAAUGUUUAGUUAAAAAUGAAAAACAAUAAAAUUGAAAGAACAUUAUUUUUAUGAAUUUCCUGUUUAAAGUAAGGAAUGUUAAUGUUAAUUUAGUUCCAGAUGUCAAAAUGUAGCUUCAACAAAAAAAUAUAAUUUCUGGUGCAUUAAUUUAAAUUUAUAAAUAAGGGUUGGCUUUUAUAGCCAAUUAAACUCUAAAGACCUUAACUUUUCUAACUAAUUUUGGGGAAAAUCAUUUGAAAUACAAUUUUUCCUAUUAAUUUACAACUGGACAUUUGAAACAUUAGAAUAAAAACACAUGCAAGAGUUUAAUAAUUAUUAGGUUAUUUUGUUGAGUUUUUUUUUAUGGAUAAAUAUAGUUUCUAUUUGUUUUAUAUUGAGUAUAUACCAUUUUUCUCUUUCUGGGCCCCAUGUCAACUGUAAACAGUUCCGGUGAGGACUUCAGAUUUUCAUGUAUAUCUGACAAUGAGUUCAAUGAGAUUUACAAGCAAGUCAAGCGUGAGCGGCAGCGCAAGCAGGAGGCUAAGGAUUGGGAGAAGUUCCUAACAAAAAAACAACAGGCACAGCUGAAAAAUGACAAGUGUUGUCAAUCACUUGUGUUGAUUCAAGACGAAAAGUUGGAAAUAUCAACUCAAACAGAAUAUAAUCAGAUGAAAGAUAAGAACGUACUUGCAAACUUUGAAAGGAAAUCCCAUAAUAUACAUAAAAAGCCUGAAGGCCUGCAUGGGAAAAUGAGUGUGCCAAUAAGUGGAAUGGAACAGCCUAUAAGUAACGAUAUUCUAGAUAUUAAAGAAAAAGAAGUAGUUAUUCUGAGGAGAACCAAAUCCUCCCCAAUUCAAAAGGAAAGAGAUGAGAAAGCCCUUGCUAACGCCGAAUUGAAGAAUUUGAUCAAAAAGUUUGACGACCUGAGAAGGAAGAUAGUCCUCACUGUUAACGGAAUUGAACAGGCCUUGAACGAUGAACCCUUGGACAUCAGUCGGGAGGAAGUUGACAUUUUGAGAAGCAAAAAGAGAAACUCAGCUUUCACAUCAAGGUUCAAAGGCAAUUAUCACUAUCAGUUGGUUUGCCAGAUUAACGACAUUAAGAAAAUACUGUCAAAUGAGACAAUCUUGAAGACAAGACCUAUUAUAAUCAUGCAAAAAUUUGUGUCCGCACACCAAAACGUCCUUCAAGCUCUUCAAGCACUGGAGAAGCAUUUACUUGCUUCUUGUUCUAGUGAAGAGUCUUUCCGUUGGUUGAAAGAAUUUAUCGAAUCCAUUUCUGAGUUAACCUCCAUGUUACCGAACUACGAUGGAAUCAAUAUUGACACAAUGGAUAACCACAGUAAUGUCAAUCUAGCUUGUCAUCAGUUGAUGGAUAAGAUAGACCGUCUAAAUGAUAGAAGAGAGGCGGAGGCGAAGAUGUUAAAGAAAAGGGCAUCCAGGAAGAUCAAGUCGGGCAAUGCGCCGCAGGAUAACCUCUGGAUGUACCGAACCCAUAGGCUGACCUGGAAAGAGAAAGCCGCAGAUUUGGCCAAAUUUCAAAUAGCAAGGCGGAAGAGGAAGAAAGGUGCCAGGGACGAGCUCCUCUGUGAGAAAACUGCAGAACCGUCAGAACUCAAACUGCUCAAGAUGGAGGUCAAGCAGAGGGAAGGGUCUGAGCUAAGAAGACACAGCAGGUCAGUGAGAGAGGAACAAGUGCGAACAAUGAUGGAAAUCAUUCCAGAAGAAUCAGAGAGUGACGUGGAAAUUAAAAAAAAUGUGAAGUGUGAUUUGAUUACAGAAGAAUCUAUGAAACAAGAUACUGAGCCUGCUAAAGCCAAGCUCCAAGAGUUGAUAGACUGCCGGAAUGCUGUAAUGCUGGCGGCUAAAACCGAAGAGCAGAAAGCAAACUUGUUUCAGAAAAGAAGAGAUAGUAGAGCAAAAGAGCGAGUUUCCCUCCAAUGUCAAAUUGGUCUACAUCAAGUAGUCAAACAAACUUUUCCAAUUGGAGAACAGAGAUGUGGUGUGUGAUUACCGUACGGCAUUCAAGAGUUUCAAGUCUCAAAGUGUGUGGUAUGAUGAAAAUGUGAAUAAUAUGGUUAACAGUAUUACAACACGGCUGACAGACGAAAUAAUUAAAGAUGUUGUUAAAGAGAUUAAUGUGGAUCAUAUCAUAAGAAAAAUUAUCGAUUUGGAACUCCAAGAACUAUAACAGUUGUAAAUGAUUAUUUUCUAAAUAAAUUUUAGACAUU